rnacentral:rRNA from 1 species
AAAGGUGUGGGUAAUCUUGUUAAACUAUGUCGUGCUGGGGAUAGAGCUUUGCAAUUUUUGCUCUUGAACGAGGAAUUCCUAGUAAGCGCGAGUCAUCAACUCGCGUUGAUUACGUCCCUGCCCUUUGUACACACCGCCCGUCGUUACUACCGAUUGAAUGGCUUAGUGAGGACUCUGGAUGCGCAUUCAAGAGAGGGCAACCUCUCUAGAUGUACAGAAACUGUUCAAACUUGGUCAUUUAGAGGAAGUACAAGUCGUAACAAGGUUUCCGUAGGUGAACCUGCGGAAGGAUCAUUAU